UUGCACAGUGAACACCCAAGUGUGCUUUAUAGUUCCCUCGGCUUUGACUCUGUGCUAGAGCAAUGUCUGUUCUUUUCCUCUGCAUUGAAAGGAGUAUUCAGAAAGUCAGCCCAUUA
ensembl:snoRNA